UACAGCAUGGCAUAGUGGUUUGGGUGUUGGACUAUGACUCUGGAGACCAGAGUUCAAUUCUCAACCUGGCAA